CCUACGGGUGGCAGCAGUGGGGAAUCUUCCGCAAUGGGCGAAAGCCUGACGGAGCAACGCCGCGUGAUCGAAUGAAGGCCUUCGGGUUGUAAAGAUCUGUUGACAGGGACGAAUAAGCAAUGCGAAUAGUUUUGUGUAUGACGGUACCUGUUUAGAAAGCUCCGGCUAACUACGUGCCAGCAGCCGCGGUAAUACGUAGGGGGCAAGCGUUAUCCGGAUUUACUGGGUGUAAAGGGAGCGUAGACGGCGAUGCAAGUCUGAAGUGAAAGGCGGGGGCCCAACCUCCGGACUGCUUUGGAAACUGUAUGGCUGGAGUGCAGGAGAGGUAAGUGGAAGUCCUAGUGUAGCGGUGAAAUGCGUAGAUAUUAGGAGGAACACCAGUGGCGAAGGCGGCUUACUGGACUGUAACUGACGUUGAGGCUCGAAAGCGUGGGGAGCAAACAGGAUUAGAUACCCUGGUAGUC
rnacentral:rRNA from 1 species